CCAAACCAGUCCUCCGCCUCCUCUCCUGCUCCCGCCAUCGCCCGCAGAACCCCACCCAAACCCAUCGCUCGCUCGCCAAGAUCCAAGGCGGCCGCAGCGGCUGGGAGACUGGGAGGACGCGCGCGGGAGGAGAUCCAAGGCGGCCGACGAAGGCCCCGGCGGCGCCACCGGCCUAGAAGCCCGCGUCCGAUGGCGAUAGGAGCGAGGGCGUCGCCAGCUCGGACACCCCGCUCGCCUUCCCCGAGGGCGACGAGCACGACGAGGCGGCGGCGGCGGAGGACGAGGCCAAGGCCAGCACGCAGGACAAGUGGGCGCAGCAGCAGCAGGCCGGCCCGCCAUGGCAGUGGAGCGGGGGCGACGGCGGCUACUCCUUCAGUCGACUGCAUCUUUUUGUGGCGCUUGGGUACAUUCCGAAUCAACUACAAAUUCCUCUCACUACGCCCAUGCCCAGAGAUUAGCCAAUAUUUGGGAGAUGAGGUGGCUCAACUAAUUGGAGACAGAACAAGAUGAAGAAGGAAAGUACGGCCACACCAGGGCGACCUGGGAGCAAGAGAUGAUCACCAUCAUCUGGGUGCUAAAGGCCUAGGGAAUUAUAACAUGGUUUUUUUAUAGAAAGGAUGCUCAUGGCGUAGCUUACAGUACCAGGCAACAUCUUCUGUUGAUUACAGUGCCAAAAACUCCAGCAGGCCGCAGGACUCCUACGUCGCUGGCGCCUGUCACCGUCACUGACGACGCCCUGCGUCCAGCUGGCCGCCAAGGAAUCCGCCAACCCGUCCCAAUUUAGUGUCCCACGUCAUGAGCUCCUCGAAGGUGAGCAGCUGGCCCAGCCUCGCCAUGUAGCACACGGUCUUGGUAGUGGAGAUGUCGACAUUGUCACUGCGGUCGAAGGUGCGGACGGACUCGAGCAACUACGCCCGCUGGUUGAGGUGUGGAGCAUAGGGCGUGAGCACCGGCAUGAUGGUGUGCGCUAGCUCGUCAAACUCAGCGGCCCGCUGACAUCUGUGUUGAUGGCCAGCAGCAGAAGGACUCGUCGCCCGGCGGCCGCAAGCUUAGGGGGGUGGAGCAGGGCGUCGAGAUCGAGACCUGCUGGCGCCUGUCACGUCGUCACUGACUCAGACCACAAGAGUCCUGCUGUGUUCGGCGUCGCGCCCUCCACAUCCUGCAAUGGUGAUCACGAUGCCCCUGCAGAACAAGGUGCCGAUGCCUGUCACUGCCCUGCGUCCUGCUCCACGCUGUGCCCAGUGCUGCCACCCUGCUCUGUGUUGUGCCCUCGAUAGGCGCCAUCCUUGGACGCCAUCUCUUCCAACCUAUCUUCAAAAAAGAUUUGUACCCUUCCAAACUGAUAUCAAUUACAUACUCAAGGCAGUUCUAGAUGUCUGCAAGUUUGUGAUCUGCAAGUAUUAUAGUCAAAAGGAUUUCAAUUAUGAUAGGCCGUAGCUUCACUUUACAUCCUCAGGUCAGUUCUAGAUGUCUGCAAGUUUGUGAUUUGCAAGUAUUAUAUUAAAAAAGAUUUCAAUUAUGAUAGUCCGUAGCUUUACUAAUCCCACUGUUAUACUACUAUGUGUGUUCACUGAUGCAUGUGUCUUCAAAUUAUGAUAGGCUGUAGCUGGAUCAGAUGAAGCAGUUUUGCCGUGUGAAUAGCCGUAAAGCGAAACAGAAGCAGCUCACAUGCGCGUCUACUUGUUUUUUUUACUUGCCGUAGCUGGAUCAUUAGCUUGAACGCAAAGCCAUCUAGUCUAUUCUCUGCCCCCAUGAUAUCUUUUCUUAAUUUGGUAGAUUGGUAGAUCAAGUUUUUGCAAGAUGACAACACCACAUGUGUAGUUGCUGACUAUGUUUAUAUCGCAAAAAUAUUAUGGUUGCAAGCAUCUACCUGUCUUAUUCUCAAGGAAGGGCCCAGCCUAUCAUUUGAUUUUAAGUUGUCAGAUUCAUCAUAUAGUAUUUAAGAUUGGCAGAUUAAAUUUCCCCGGUGCUGCCACUGGGGCGUACUGCUGCUCGCCUCUCCGUCCGCCGGUGCCUCCCGCUCGGGCGGUGUCCCGGGCUGACGGCGUGCGUCCUGAGCUGCUGCUCGCGUCGCCUCGCGACCGCUGCUGGACCCGAGGGAGCCGCCGGCUGCGCACGUCCGGGGGAGCGCCCGAGCAGCUCGGGUUCGAGCUUACGGCUGCGUGCGCGCCCAAGGGAGCAGCUACCCAGUGCAGCGGCAUCAGCUAGCAACCUCUGAAUUCAGUAAUGCAGAAUUCUGGAGGCAAUUACAUGUAUAUACUGUGCAUGAAAGCUUUCAUUUGAAAGCUCAUAUGGUCAAUUUUGUUCCUUUUUCAUUUUUGUUCUUUCAUUUGAAGCGUCCAAUGUUGCCGCCGAGUUCGCCGGAGGAAGAAGCGUCGAGUUCGCCGGAGGAACAAAAACAUCGGUCGAGCCGUACAAUGGCGCCUGCAGCGGCUACACCAGAGAUAUUUAUCCCCUUGAUGAAACCUAACCACUCGAUGUAAUCUCCCCUGUUUUAGUUGUUGUUUCUGUCCUGGUUGUACAGGCAGUUUUCAACAGCAGCAGCUAGCAUGCUCAGUCUGAACUUUUAGAAUGUUUUCCCAGUUCAUGUUCAACGUUGAUCCUUUUUCCAGUUAAAGUUCCAAGCAACUUUCCUGUGUGAAUCUCACUGAAACUUCUGUUUCAUUGUGUAUA